rnacentral:ncRNA from 2 species
CCAAUAGCGUAUAUUAAAGUUGUUGCAGUUAAAAAGCUCGUAGUUGAACUUCGGGAUCAAUGGGUCGGUCAUGCCGUCGGUAUGUACUGAUUUUAUUGGUUCUCACCUUCUAAGGAACCGUAAUGUCAUUAGUUUGAUGUUGCGGGGAAUUAGGACUGUUACCUUGAAAAAAUUAGAGUGUUUAAAGCAGGCUAACGCUUGAAUACAUUAGCAUGGAAUAAUGAAAUAGGACAUCAGAUUCUAUUUUGUUGGUUUCUAGGAUCGAUGUAAUGAUUAAUAGGGAUAGUUGGGGGCAUUAGUAUUCAAUUGUCAGAGGUGAAAUUCUUGGAUUUAUUGAAGACUAACUACUGCGAAAGCAUUUGCCAAGGAUGUUUUCAUUAAUCAAGAACGAAAGUUAGGGGAUCGAAGACGAUCAGAUACCGUCGUAGUCUUAACCAUAAACUAUGCCGACUAGGGAUCGGAUGAUGUUAAUUUUUUAAUGACUCAUUCGGCACCUUACG